rnacentral:lncRNA from 1 species
CGUAGCCCCAUGAGGCACAGCCUAAGAUCCAAAGAGACACCAUCACUAGACUCCACUAGGAAGAUGGAGGAGAGAAUGAGACAUCACUUUUGGUUGAGUGGGAGUCAGAAGUGGAGGAAGAAGGCUGGGGAUGGCUUAAAAAGUACACUCCAAUUUUCAAAUUUCUGGACAUUCAUGAGCUGCCGGAUAGACACUCUGGAGCCAUCUAGUGGUAUAGCAUCAUUGAUGUAAAUGUUGAGAAGAGCUGGGUUUAGCCUUGAAAAAAGUCCAUGUGCAACUCUAGUGGAAUUGGACUAUCUCUCAGAAUAAUCUCACACAGAGGUUUCAUCACUUUAGGAACGCAAUGCCAGCUGAGGAUGUCCUGGUCCUAGGAAAGAAAUGGAUAUCCUUACUCUGACUCACUCCCUCUGACUACAGCUUCCUCUAGCACUCUUCCAAGAUGUACAUCAUCUAGUGACCUAGGUGGAGUGGAAUUUAUAAACGAUAUUUUUAAAAUAAAUCCAUAAAAUAUAA